AUAACUCCAGUCCACUCACUAUCUACUCAUAAUCAUUACAUUUCUUCUGCUGCCUAUAGCUGUGAAGAAUCUUUGUUUGUUACAAACAGCAACAAAACAAGUUAGCUCAGUGGUCAAGAAGUCCCAUGCGCAGCAACAAAAACCGAGAAUUGGCUUUCACACAAUCCAGGAAUCCUCACAGGCAUCCUCUGAUUUUACAUAAUACACUUUAUAUUUUGAGAUAUGCCGUCCAGUACUCUGAACCAUCCUAGUUUCGUCGCUGCUGCGGCAGAGUGAACGGAGGAAACAAAAAUGCAAGUGUUUUGAGAGGCAUCUAACAUUCUAUACUUUUCUCUUCCCCAUGGAAUUUACAUAGUUUAAAUGAAAUGGGUAUACAUCUAUAAACCAACACAGAAAGACUUCCAAUAAGUUAACUUCUUUUUUCUAUCGUCUUAGAAGAUGAGGAACAAAAAAGACUAGGACUUGUUUGUUAAUAAAUUGAUGGGAGUUCUCUUGUUAAGGGGGGGAACGAUUCUUCCAAAAGUGUGAUGAACUGACGAUCAUCCGGUGAGUAUUACCUGCUUCCCGGCAUCGCAUUCCCAUUCGCCAAGGUCUUCGGGUGAGUUGCCUCUGCCAUCCGAUUCCAGUUCUAGCUCGAUUUGCAAGAGCGGGUCUCUGGCUUUUCGACCUCUCACGUUGACAAAAGGCAAGCCAUUGCUGUUCCUCUUCACUUCUUUCCUUUCCGGUGUAUCAACUGACUGUCUUGGUGUUUGAGGCGCUGUGGCGUCCUGAGACCUGCCGCCAUAA
rnacentral:lncRNA from 1 species